ACUAUUCUCUGCCAGGCUCCAAGAGACUAAUGCUUGGCAGGUCAGCAGCUCUUCCCAUACCUGGGUAUCAUGUCAGGCCUGACUGGAGUAAGCAGUGAUUCCACAUUGCAGCUUGCAGGCCUGGGAGUCUGUGAGUGUGAGGAUGGCUUGGCAGGAGACAAACAGAGGGACACAGACACAAACAUGCGUUCCUAAGAUCUCCUGCCCUUCCCAUCAAUUUCUGCCAUUUUCUGCAUUCCUGUGCACACACUCAGGCUGCCACACAGCCCCAUCCUGCUCUGUGAUAGCUCUAAACCAUGCUACCUACUGAAGUCCCAGCUACUCCUGCACAGCCACGUUCACACACAGCAGGCAGCCAGAGGAGCAGAGUACAAGCACCUCAUGACUGCCUGCAGGUGUCAUUGCCCACCGUUCCUGGACAGCCAACAGCCUUGUGACAUUUCAGACUCCCGCUCACUCCCCUGCCCACCCACAGAGAGACGGAUCUCGUCCUCUCCACCUCUCCUCUUUACACAUCUCUGUGUCUGUGCUGUCACCAGGGGCAGGUGGCUGGCAGGAAGGGAUUUUCUCUAUGGAUUUCCAGUGGUUCCAUGUGGCCAUGAUGCUCCCUGUGGGCUGGGCCCUUCAGCAAUCACCAGAUACAAUCGUCCGGGUGGGAGACACCGUGACUCUGGAAUGUUCUGCAUCAAGGAAAACUUUUGUAAACAUGUACUGGUACAAGCUACCCGUGGAGAAGGAUGCCAGUAUGCAGUUGGUUGUAAAUUCAGUGGAAGGUGGCAAAGCAGAUUUUGAGAAGGAAUUCAAAAAUCGCUUCCAGAGCAGUGGGACUAGGAACAACCAUUUAUCUGUGAAGAUACAGCCUGCCCUCCUCAAUGACACAGGCACAUAUUUCUGUGCUGAAAGUAAUCCACAGUGACUCAAAGGCAGGUGCAGCAUAGCACAAAGGAUUGCAGGCAA